rnacentral:miRNA from 1 species
UCUCGUCUGAUCUCGGAAGCUAAGCAGGGUUGGGCCUGGUUAGUACCUGGAUGGGA